GACCGCGUAGCUCAUUUGGUAGAGCAUUGGGCUAGUAUUCCAAAGGUCGUAGCCUUGUAGGUUCGUAUCCCAUCGUGGCCA